AGGCGCGUUCCGACUCGGGUCUGCUGUACGGGUCGCACUCAGUCUCUCUGGCUAUUUUGUGCGUUCCCAUCUGACAGCCCACAUUUCUCCGCCGCACACCUUGGCCGCAGGACACCGAGCACUGAGAAGACGAGAGUGCACAUUUUGACAUGAUGAAGAAUUGCGAUCAUUAUUCUUCCUACCUUGAAGAUGAGAUAACUUAGAAUAUAGCUACCAGCAGAAAACAGAAGGACCAGCACCGUUUUGGAUAACGUCUCAAGGCUCAAUAUGGAAGGAAGGUAGCACUGGAGAAAAAAAUGUCAACAGCAUUACAGCAGGAAUCCUGUCCAGUAUUUUGGGUCACUCAAGAGGGAGGGGAAACCCUGAUAAUUCAGGCCAAAAAAAUGAAGCCCAUGAACCUGAAAUUACCAUGAAAUUCUGACUGAAAGAAGUCCUACUAUGAAUUAGUAACGAUUCCUUCUGGACAUCUCACUUCACGCAAUCUCUGAUCAAGAUAUGCCUUCAAUAAAAUGCCUCGCGAUUUCACUCUUUUGGAGGAAGGUGCGUUUCCAAAAUACAGCUGCAUUCCAUUUCCUAGCGAAAUGAUUUAAGGAAACUCUUAUACCAUUUUUCAGAGGAUAAGCUCUCAUUUUCCCAGUCCACAGGAAAGAAGGUGAAAAAGGCACAUCAGAAACUGAAAGGACUUGAAUGGAACUGAUUUGGAAAAGAAAGACUGACACUUCAGCAUGACUUGCUACACAUAAUAUUUGCCUAAAAUUAAGAUCGAAAAGUGAUAAGGAAAUUCUCAAGACUAAAGUCGAAGAGUCUGGAAGCCAUGCAUUUCAACACAUCCGGUGGAGACGAAAUUCAAGGCCUGGGCAGCGUGCUCAGAACCUCCACCGAGGGCUGGCUCUCUCUCUCGUGGUAGCUCUGGCUAUGGCGUGGAUAUGCGUCCCACGGUUCCCGAUGUGCCGUCCCUGGCAUUAGGGAUGCCCUGCAUCGAUCCUUUCACUUACAUUGAUGUGCAUGGUCUCUUAGUCACCGAGAAGCCAGCAAACAACCCCAGUGUGUCUGCCUGGAUGAGAAGGGCCGAUGACCUGGAAAGAAUGAGACUCCCAGCGCUACCAAGGCUGCUGAGAACCUGGACGUCCAAAUGGAGAUGGAGGCCCACACAGAAGUGGUACAAUGAAAAGAGGGCCUGGUUAAGAAAACAGGCUGCUCACCUCUGCUCACCCACAGCGAUAACAGAAAACAAGGACCUCAAAGAAAUGUCCCUUAAGAAUAUUUUGGAGACCUCUGAUUGCUUAGUCUAGCAGAAGUAGAGUGGUUAUGUAAUAUAUUUCUGACUUUAAUAUUUUCUCCACAAUACCUUUAGCAUCCUGGAAAGAAAGACACUAUGAAAAGCAAAUAAACAGUCACAUAAAUAAAGGGCCACAUUUCCCUAUGGCCAAAGCCACACCCUGGUUUUCUCUUGGCUGUUUUCUAGGGUUGAUUCACCCUUUGAGGCUGGUCUGAUGCCACCUGGUGAACGACUGUCUCCGUUCACUGGUGAACGGCCCUUUGCAUGGUCAUGAAUGGAAGGUUACAUGUAAAUUGUGGCCUGCCGAUUCACCAAGGACUAACUAAACUCUCAAAUGUUUGAGCUGUAGGUCAUCUCAGAGGUUUGACAAAUUUGUUUGACAAAUUCAACACUGUGGAAAAGGAGACGCGGCAUGCUCACAGUCACAUGACAGGGAAGGAGUAGAUGGAGACUUAGGACUAAGAGGAGUUGGUGUACCCAGCACAGAACAGUGUUUGGUACCAAUUGCACUGGGGAUCUGUGACCAGAUUUGGUAUUCUGCAUGGUUCCUGGGAACAGAUGUUCUGAUUCUUUCCACGCCGGUUCAGUCAUGCUCACCCAGAGCUGGCACGAUGGGCUGGGACUAGCCAAGGCAGGCAUGAGUUCUGCACCUCUGGCUCUGAGAGACUUCCAAUUCCAAUAUGAACAAGCAUGGGUUUAAUCACCGCUUGUUCCAAGGGCCCAGUUAAGAAUAAACUCCAUGGAGUGGCUGGGCAUGGGUAUCAUCACAGGAUACCACAGCUCACACACGGGUGCUGGCCUUCACCCUGCUCUAAGAUGUAGCCCUUAAAGGCACAUAUUUUGGAGUCAGACAGACCAAGGUUGGACCGAGGUUGGAAUGUUAUCUGCCAUUUUGCCCCGGUGCCACCUGGGGCAAGUUACUGACCCUCUCUCAACUCAGAUGCAUUCUCUGUAAAAUGGAGGUGGUAGCCCCAUCCAUCUAUACUCAGUGGAGUUGUGUUACAAUCAGACAAGACAAUGCAUAGAGAGCUCUUGGGGUUUUGGCCUGAGAGUGUAAAAAUCAACACACGUUCACUGUCCCUGCUACUAAUGCUUCUACUCAGCAGAGUCUUUUAAAAUAUCUUCUAAGACGUAGGUUACAUGGUGAAUAUUUAAAAAAAAAUGGAGUCGAAAAUUAACAUUCUAAUACAGGCACUGCUGGGUGAAGGAGAAACUCAGCCUGGCAAAAUCUCACCCGUGUGAAUGGGUGAAAAGCUUUCCUUUCUAAAGGUCACAGAGAAAUCCCCAGAGCAGAUAUAAACAUUGAUGAUUCCUUCUUUUCUGUGGGGGCCCGUUACACUCUUACAGACUCUUACCUAUUAACAUGGUCUCUUCUAACCACAGAAGACGGAAAGACAUGUAAGAAAAAGAAAGACACCACAUCUGAAAGCCGUAUCUCUUUUCUACGCCAUUUCCGGCUCAGGCUUCCUAUCGCAAGAACGCCUGGUGUUUCUCAUUUGUUUUUUUAUGUUAUUUCUUUAAACGUCCUGAGGCAGAGAAUCAGCACCAGCGCUAAUCAUUACCAAACACAGACUCACUGACUUGCAUGCUCUGUUUGGCUCAGCGGUGGGAGUGGUCACAGGCCUUUGUCAGAAAGCUGAUCUCCUUAUUGGUGACAUGAACAUGCUUAGGGAAAUGUUUAUAGGGCUUCUCACAAGACAAGAAUGGCUCUGAACAGGGGCAUCAGGGAACCAAAAUGACCGAGGAGGAAGGAGAGAAAGCUUGGCCAGGAAACAAGGGCUGUGACUUCAGGGCGUAAAGCCAGUGUUGACAGGCCUGCCUGAUGGCCGUUCAUGUUCAGGACCACCAUGGCACUUAUUAUCAUGAAAAGGAGCUGAGAAAGCCUGAGAUUGGCAGGGAACACCAUGGAAGAAAGCGGAUGUGGGAGUCACGGUCAUUGCAGCCGGAUGGGGCAUUGGGCCAUCCUUCCAGCCCAGUUGCCCCCAACACCCUGAGCCUUUGCAAAGCUACAAAGGUCUGAGACUGCGGGAGAAAAGGAACUAAGAUUCACAUGUCAACUCUUGGAACACACUUGAAGACUCCUAUCAAUACUAUAUCCAAGUAGGUGGCCCUGCAUAUGCCUCGCAGGGGAGGUGGCAGGGCCAGGCAAAGAAGAAGAGGCAGUGAGGGGUGCUCACGAGCCCCACACUUCCCAUCACCUCCAAGGAUUAUGAGGUAUGGGGCUCUCCAGUUGCCCCUCCCCCCACCUCAAAAUGUGACAACUUCAUAUUA